rnacentral:rRNA from 1 species
GUGGGGAAUCUUCCGCAAUGGACGAAAGUCUGACGGAGCAACGCCGCGUGAGUGAAGAAGGUUUUCGGAUCGUAAAGCUCUUUCGUUAGGGACGAACGUGCUCUUUGUGAAUAAUGAGGAGUAAUGACGGUACCUAAAUAAGAAGCCACGGCUAACUACGUGCCAGCAGCCGCGGUAAUACGUAGGUGGCAAGCGUUGUCCGGAAUUAUUGGGCGUAAAGCGCGCGCAGGCGGGAUAUCAAGUCUGUCUUAAAAGUGCGAGGCUCAACCUCGUGAGGGGACAGAAACUGGUAUUCUUGAGUGUCGGAGAGGAAAGUGGAAUUCCAAGUGUAGCGGUGAAAUGCGUAGAGAUUUGGAAGAACACCAGUGGCGAAGGCGACUUUCUGGACGAUGUCUGACGCUGAGGCGCGAAAGCUAGGGGAGCGAACGGGAUUAGAUACCCUUGUAGUCC